rnacentral:miRNA from 1 species
CAGCCAAUGCCACGACUGUCAUG